GCGGUGCAUUAGCUAGUUGGUAAGGUAAAGGCUUACCAAGGCGAUGAUGCAUAGCCGAGUUGAGAGACUGAUCGGCCACAUUGGGACUGAGACACGGCCCAAACUCCUACGGGAGGCAGCAGUAGGGAAUCUUCCACAAUGGACGCAAGUCUGAUGGAGCAACGCCGCGUGAGUGAAGAAGGUUUUCGGAUCGUAAAGCUCUGUUGUUGGUGAAGAAGGAUAGAGGUAGUAACUGGCCUUUAUUUGACGGUAAUCAACCAGAAAGUCACGGCUAACUACGUGCCAGCAGCCGCGGUAAU
rnacentral:rRNA from 1 species